ensembl:lncRNA novel transcript, antisense to BOD1L2
CUAAGAGGGAGGUGGGAAACAAAUGCCAGUGGGCAAGGGCGAAACAGGGAGACAAUUUCAGCAACCAUUUCAGUGCCCUAAGAAGGAGAUGGCGAGGAGUGAAUGAUCUUCGUGGCCUGGCAGGAGGAGCUCACAUUGUUGACAAUUAACCCAAUCCAAGAGACCUGCAUAAAUCAAUCACUACAGGAAAAAAAAAAUUGUUCUUGAUCUACAGUGACAAAUGUGUAGACAAGGAUGCUGACUGCUAUGCUGUGAGGAACCCAAGCAGCCCAGUGGGGAGAUCCAAGUGUUGUAAAGAACCGAGGCACCUCACCAAUAGCCAGCAUGGGCUUGCUGGUCACAAGAGUGUGCCAUCUUGGAAGCAGAUCCUCCAGCCCCAGUCCAGUCUUCAGAUGACUGCAGUCCCAACUGUCAUUCGAGUUCAUGGGAGAUAAUAAGCCAGAACUACCCAGCCACAAGCCACUCUUGCGUUCCUGACCCACAGAAACUGUGUGAGAUAAUAAAUAUUAGUUGUUGUUUUAA